UAAAGAGGGAGGAAGAAGAAAGGCAGAGGGAGGGGAGAUGUCAGUUGCUGCCAAAGGAACAACAACAUGCCAGCAGACUGAAUUCAUCAAUAUCCUGAGUUUCUCUGACUGUUGGGACCACCAAGGAAAAGCCCCGGCUUCAAUUCAGACUCCGGUUAGACUCUGAGACCAGUUAGUCAGCUCUGGAAGCUCUUGGGAUUAGACGAUCGUGUUGACGCUGAACUGGUCCAGACCUGUGGAAAUGGCUCUGCGUCCCCCAUCUUACAAUGCUGCCCAUCUGUCCUUCUUAGCAGCUUGCUUUCUAUUUCAUAGCUCAAGGGCCAGCCUGUGGCUUGAGAGGGCUAAGUUCUCCCAGCCCACCACUACCUUUCACAUGGUCAGGCGCUGUCCCCAGAGGCCCAGAGAAUUCAUCUGUCAAGUGAGGGGUGUUGGUGAGAGGUGUCAGCUUUCUGGCUUUUCUCCUGUGACAUUUUGGGGUUGACUUUGCCCUGAAAGCUGGAUCAGACACCUCUUCCAUUGUCUUGCUGCUACGCCAGGGAUCUCACAUUUUCUGACUCUCACUCAUAGCGUUUGCAGGGGGAGUGAGUGUUUCACUGCGAGCUGGUCCUUAGCAGAACUGUUUAAAUGGAAAUUCUUUUGGACCAACAUUGACUCCAGGAGCCCAGGACCAAGUCUACAUUGCCCUUCUCCUUCAUCCCUGCUUUGGGUAUUUUUAGAUGCCAAACUCUUGUUCAACAGAGCCUUCCCUUACUUAGCACCCCAAGCAGAGAAAA